AACACAUUCUUACUUUUUAAAAAAAGUACAGUUCUUUUUAGAUAUUUCUUUGGAUCAUACAAACAGGAUAAUUUUCUUUUUGUUUUUUAUUUCUCCAAUAAGGCUCUGUAGGGGAGAAUUUCUCUUUGCCUUUCUGCUUAGACCAUCCUUAGUAGUUGAGGAAAACCAUGUGGAAGCCCAUCAGUUCUUUCAGCACUUCUCAAUAUAAGCAUUGCAACAUUAUAAUAGUCAGGUUACUCACAUAUCUUUAAUUCUACUAUAUGACUGUGAUUAUACUUGUGAGUUGUGGUAUAUCACAUCAUUGCUUACACAUGCCCCUAAAAGUCCAUCGGUUGGCUUAGGACACACACACCACACUCUGUAUUCAUUCUCCUCCCAAUGUUUGAAGAAACACUAAAAUACAGAUGUCUUUAGACAGCUAUCUGACACGCCCUUGAAAAUAAUACGCUGGCUAUGUGCGAGGCCCAUUAGCUGAACAGGCAGCCCUCCUUAAUGUUGCUUCCAUUUUUCAUAACAUCUGCAUGAAAAAAAAUCAUACUUCCACAAAGUUUUCCAGCAGAGUCCUGAAGACUUAUAUAAAACAAUAACUCAUUUGUUGCCCCCACUGCUGUAGGCACAGAAAAGGACAGAGCUCCACUGGAAACAAUGGGAAAAUAAUGUGAGACACUUGAAUGAACAAAAGGAGAAUUGGACAGAAAGGUCAGUUGUAAAGUAGGACUGACAAAAUACUUUGAGAGCUUUGUUUACAAUGAUCUUAAUACCAAACUUUUGCUGCAAUGGAAAAAAAAUCUGUGGGAUACAAUGUCUUUUAUUAAGGUGAGAGCUCUUUACAUUGUUCACAACUGACACCUGAAACCAAAAUGAAUGGCACGACAGUACCUUGAAGUUGUGAAACAUUAAUUACCAACAUUUUCCAUUUUCUGUGGGGCAGCUACGAGUCACACUUCCAAACAAACAACAGUUUGCACACUCAGAGACCCAAACAUGUGAAGCCCAACAGGCAGAAUACACACAUCCAGUGUCACGGUGUGUAGUCAUGUCUCACCAUGGAUAAACCCUACCAUUACCCUGCAGCUUUGUCUCAGACCCUAGAUGAAUCUAAACAACAUUUAAGGGAGAAGAAAGCAGUUGUUUAGUGAUAACUGCUCAAAUCAUCCCCUAAGUUCAUCUAAACAGGGAUACAUACAACAGCCAUUAUAGCUAUCAUUGUCAUCAUCUUCAAACAUGCCACCCACAAACUUGCUCACACAAGCAAGCGACACAAGCUGAGGGUACUGUUCUGCAGAAGCUUCAGCCUACACAGUGCAGUGGAAUUGUUUGUUUUUCUAACAAGACAGGAAAUUCUGUUGGAAUAACGUUAAACAAAAAGCUGAUAAGUGCCCCAACAGAUCACUUGUGUGUAUGAUCUUUGUCCUCAUGUCACACAAAAAGCACUUCACCGGCUCCAGUUGUGCUCUGAUCAGCUUACGUUAGUGUUCAAGUGUCGCCCCCAUGGAACCCACUGGAUUGGGCCAAGUUGUAGUCUUAGUGUUAAAGGAAAAAUAAGUGACAGGAUGUGGGUUUCUUUUGAUAAGAUUCAUGCCUCUAUGUCACAAAUAAAGCUACUCCAAGGUACGGUACAGGUCGCUGCGACAAAGAUUAUACUGGUCACGGUCCACUGUACUAAACCUCUGAUGUCCUAUUUACAGUACGCUGCUGUUUAUAUUUUAGAUCAAUGUGGCCUGUGUCAGUGAGCCUGGAAGCGACUGUGCAACCUUUGAAGCCUCAUCCUGAACAGUGAAAGGAAAGGGAACCAAUCAGACUGCUUGGGUUCCUUCUGUGGGAUUUUACAGUAAGGUGACCAGCAGGUAUUGUUUCAACAUAGAAGGGCAUGAGGUAACGUUGCACAAUGGCAUGUGUGUAUGAAAAGCUUGAACUGCUCUGUUUUAGGGGGGUUUUGACAGGUGGGUCACUGUGGAUAAUUCAGGAACUGAACAAAAAGCAGAACGUGUACAAGGAAGUUUAAGCAGGAAUUAGCUUCCUGAUAACAGUGUUAACUGUACUUUAUUACUAUUUACAGGCAGAAGAGCUGAAGUGUGCACGUUCACACACAUGCAGCCCUGCAACACAAGUGUACUUCAUCUAGAAAGUAACUUUAGACUCAGGGACUGUUUAGGUGUCAGUUAAUCAUGCAUGAGCCUGUGGAACUUUUGAAGCAACACAAAAAGCCUAUGUUGUAAUAAAGGCAGUCCAAGUUAUCAUCAAUAGGAGAAUCCCUUCACAGGAGAUUAGAGGCCUGGAGAGGAGGGAUAAUGUGUUGCUAAAUGUAAAUGGCUGAUGCUGAUUUCCUACAUUUCCCACUGACUUUUGUAAUCUUAUUAAAGAAAUGGUAAAUGGACUGCUACUUAUACAGCACUUUUUUUUCUAUUCCAUUUGAACGCUCAAAGCGCUUUCUUGCUACAAUGCUCAUUCACUUAUUCACACUUUUUCUAUGCUUAUGAGCUUUUAACCUGACAUGCACAUAAUCAUACUCCAGAUGAUACAUCAGGGGCAACUCAGGGUUCAGUAUCUUGCCUGAGGAUAGUUUAACAUGUAAUCACAGGCUAGAGGAGCUAGGCAUUAUUAGAGUACUAUCCUGCUACCUACUACUACAUACUGCCCGAAAGCAGCAAUAUAAAGAAAAUGACUAAUGUAACGAUAAGUAAUAUUCAUUUAACUAUUUACAAACAGCAAAAAUAACAUGCUGAUUACAAUUUGGGAAGUUUUCCUAACGAAACUGGAUGCCUUUAAACAAUAAACGUCACUUGUGGCGAAUUUCUAUUUCAAAGCAACAAUGCUGAAACCUAACACCUGUAAUUCUGUGACCAUUAACAUUUGAUGACAGAUCGCCUGGCUGUUACACUUCUGCCAAAAAACAGAUCACAAAUGAAGGUAUUACAUCACUCAAUGAUAAGUCAUUUCAAACCAAAGAUUUUUUUUUUAGCAACUUAGGAACAAUUCCAUACCACCUUAAUGACAAAUAUCUCUUUAAUGAAUGUAAAUAUUGGAUUAGUCUAUAACUAGAAAAACAAUCAAGAAUCAGCCCAGAUUGACUGCUGAAUGCUCUGAGCACAAUGACUUAGUUACUAUGUCACUCUCAAUGUUAUUUAUGCAGCAUAUUUAAUUACAUUAAAAUGUAUUUUCCAUAACAGAUAAAAACAUAAAAAACAACUAUUACAAUGAACUCAGAUGUUUACUUCAUGUUUCACUAGCUGCAGUCAUCCCAUGCAAGAGAAAAAAGUGUGAUCUGCAACAAUAAUGUUGAUAAAAAAAAUCAAUGUGUUAAUCUUGCCCAGGGCCACAGAUGCCUAGAUAUAGCCCACACCUUUUCUGAUGAAAACACUCCACAAAUUCAUAUGAAUUCCUAUCUGAUAUGAUUUGCGUGGCUGAAACAACACCAUAAACAUUAUUCUACCUCCUGCUUGUAUUCCGAGGUGCUAGAACAACAACUUUCUGUUGUACAACAUGAAAUUACAGGUUAGUAAUGUAAAUUACGACUUCUUACAAUUCAUAGGAUUGCACUGUUGUAUUGUAAAAAUAGAUCUGAACUAUUUUCUUUUAUUUCUUCCUUUUAAAACACAUGCAAACACAGCUUCUAAGUAACACAAUUGGUAGUCUUGAGCGGUCCAGGAGACUAAGCACAGACCUCCAAGGCUGUCUGUUGAGCAGAGAAGUCUGAAUGAUGGAUGCAUUGAAAUUGCCCCUCUUUUCUUCAGAGUCUCGCCCACAAAGGGUCUGUUUCCCAUUCAGGACACAAGGUCAUUAGAUAAUACACACGAAGAUCUCAAGGCCACACAGUGGGGGCAGGAUCAUUCAGCACAACAAGCCUCCGCGAAAACUUCUCGAUGCCUUAACUCAGUAGUCUCUGCAGGAAGCAUAUGCACAUCCAGAAACAAAUAUACUGACAUGAAAGCUCACAUGCACAUUGAAAUUUCACAGACGGUCACACACGCACAAGGAUGGGCUCAAUAGUUUGUCAGUGGGAAUCAUGACAUCAUCAUGUUCCCCUCCAACCUCUCUAUUCAGUCACAGCAGAAUUAUUUAUCCUUUGAAAGUGGGUUAAAUGAAUGCUUAGGAAUGUCCUUUUUCUUUCUUUCUUUUCUAUUUUUCCUCUGAUGUAAUCACAGGCAUAUGCAUCCAUACAUGUUUGUAGAAUUGUUUUAGGCACCUGGUUGGCAGAGACCCAAUCAAGAUUUUGUUAUUCAGCGAAACUGUGGGGGAAAUGCUCUCAAAUGAGGAACUGCUGGUUCAGUGAAGUGUCAGCAUGUAGCAGUUACCAUGGGACAAAAAGUUAUUCUGAACAUGGAAACUCUGAGAGGUUUGCCAAAAUUAAGAAAGAGUGGAAACUGAGCAAGUUAUGCUCUGGAUGGGGAAAAGUGUUUCCACUCCAUUCGUGAAGCUGUCAGAUUUCAGCUUGUCAUGGUUAACUCACAGCGCUCUGAAACUCAUUUCCUGAGUGGCGUCGUUAGUUCCAAAUUGAAGCCAGGAAGAAUGUAGAAAGAAAGUGGGCGGGGGAGAGAGGUUUGAGGCAGAGGGAGAUGAAACAGGGAUGGACCAAGUCUGUCCUCUACUUCCACUUGGGCACAUGCUUGAGCUGGGGCCUUGGAUUUGUUUUCUUCAUCAAAGUGAGUGGAUGUAAAGCGAGAGAGGAGUAUAUUUGCAUGUACUUAAUUUUAACUUUUAUAUAGCCAGCAACAACAUGCUCAUAUCAGAGGAUUACAAAAUACACAAGCACACACACAAUGUGUAUGAAAUUAAAAAAAAAAAAAAAAAAAAAAAAAGAGGAAGGCGACUACACAAUAAGACUGGCACUUAUUGUGUAGACUGGCAGAUCACCAUAGUGACAGAUCAGCCAAACCCUAUGACAAAAACACGGAAUGAGUCAAGUGUCAGAUGCUCAGGUUACAUGAGCAUGAUCUCAGUAAAGAAUUCUUAGAACUUAAUAAAUAUAUUUCUUUGUUUGUUCAUUAUUCUGUUCUAGAUCUGACAUUAAAAACAACUGAUUAACUUAAAUUUUUCUGAACUGUGAAUUUAGUUUGAAUAUGGGUUCUUCAUCUAGCUACACCCCCAGGCCUGUAAGAUUUCUCCUAAAACUUUGUUAGUCAUCUUCGCUAUUGCUCUACAUUAAUAAGUCUCGUUGCUCAUAUGGAGUUACUCAUGCAUGCAGUGCUGCCUUUCAAAUUAAGAGGCCUCUCCCUGAAAGACAACCCAUGUCAGGGAUCAGCACAUCUGCAGAAACACGAUCCGGUAAAGCCUCACAACUCCUGGGGGAGAAUAGCAAAGUCAUGGAGAUCCAGGUGCUGCGCACCGAGCCACACCAGCGGCCUGGCGUGCGUAAUGAAGGGCAAUUAAAAGUGGCACAUGUGCACCAAACUGACAUUCAAACAAAGCCAAAGAGGAGUGAAGAUAAUAUAGAAAAGUUCCAGAAAACUUCCAGAACUUCCAGGGAACUGGGCAACCUAAACCUGCUGACCUUGACGGUAACCAUACCCAGUGGGAUCUGGUUCAGCAACACUGUCCGAGGAGUAUCAACUCAAUGACAGCCUUUAACUUCCUCUCUGGUUAUGUCAGACACAUCCUGCACCCAGUAACCUCCUGAAGCUAAACCUCAGGUGAUUGCAUAAGAAGUCUGACUAAAUUUUACUACCCAGAAAAAUUUUAUAAGAAUUUUCUUGGGGCUCACUAGAAGAUGAGAAGAGUUAGUGCAGAAUCUUCAUUCUGUUAUGACAAAUUUGAGCCUUCAACCUACUGACACAACACCGAUACGCUGUGGUUUGCGUCAAACCACAAAAAACAGGAAGUCAGACUCAAAAAGUUCACGUCUGUGUGUCUUUGUAUGACUGCAUGUUUGUUUUCAUGUAUACGGGCUAUAGACAUAAAUAGCUCUCUCUAUGAUAAUCAGUGUAAAUCAUUACAUUUUAAGGCAAAUAAUAAUGCUUGUAUAUGAGUUAGGAUAAACCAAGCAGUACUCAUGUGCAGGAAAUUUGUAUAUACGGAGGUGCGGACGUGUGAAUUAUUAUGUAGGUCAAUUCUCAUGAACCUUACAGAGUUUCAACCACAUCUACAAGUAAGUAGAAGGUUUGUAGGUUAAUCUGAUAGCAUGGCUAAGAUAGCAUAAUGAAGCACUCAAACAGCAAUGCAAAUUUCUGCACAGUGUCAUUCCAGUUUCCCUUUAUCAAAUAACCAUAUCAAGAUACAAUGUUUCUCAAAAGUUUCUAAAAAAUAAAAUAAAAACAAAUAUCUAAUAUAGCUCAAGUGUUCUUUGCAUCUCUUUUCUAAAGAGCUUAUCCAAUUAAAGGUUGUUGACGGUUGCUACAAAUAGGCUUUGGUAGACACGUAAAUACCUUCUUAUUAUAAACAUAAAUUAUUUAAUAUUAGUCAUGCUAUUAGCUAUAAACUGGCAUUUACAACAUUUCUAAUCAAUUUCAUCAAGACCUUUUUUGAACAUUUGAAAUCAGCCUUAAAAAAAGCAUCUUGCCAGUUGUGAGUUACUACUGGGAAUUUAGCAGGAUUUAGGACACGGACACUCGAUCCCUUCUCAAAACUUAAAGGUAACUCCAUCCUCGACUUUUCCCCACUUUGUCUGA